ensembl:lncRNA
AGGAUGUGGAGAUGAUUUUAUUGAGCUCCUAAAGAGAUAUUGAAGUGAAAAAAAGCAAUUGCUGGUUUCUAGUGAGCACCCAUUACUAACCUGUCAGCAUGAGAAAAUUAUUGGUCCACACAACAGGGUUAUUGGUGCACACAAGAUAAUGACUGGUGCGCACCUGUUACUAAUUGGUCCACACUAGACAGUAACUGGCGCGCACCAGAUAAACUGGUGUAGUAACAGUUAGGAACCUGUUACUAAUUGAUAUGCACGAGAGUGACUAGUCCACACAAGAUAGAACCUUGAACCUUGCCACCUUGAACCUCUUGAACUUCAGCUCAAAGACGAGAAAGAUUUCCUUCAAACACUGCAGGACAAAAACAUCUUCCUCCAGAACCAAAUGAAAGACCUCCACAAGCAUCGUGAAGAGGAGGCAGCAAUGAGACAAAGUUAUGCUUCCAUCCUCACGCAAAUUAAGAACUCCACUCUAAACACUGAAAUUCUCACGCUACAAAAAGAUUAGGAACAACUCUUUCAAUUGUAACAAGAAUACAUUCAAGCCAAAUCCCAAGUUUUUAUUUGGAACAAGAAAACAAAAAUUUCCCCAAAGAAAUUAAAAACCUUAAUGAAAACCUGAAAACUCUCAAAAGAAUUAGGGGAAAAUUUUUCAGAAAGCUGAACAGGAAACUGCAUCCAAACAAAACAGUCCUCAUCUCUGAGAUAUUGGUUAUAAAAGUACAGCUACACAAGGAAAGGGCAAGCACCCGCCAGAACUUUGGUGUUUCUACAGAUGAGCUGGAACACAAGUACGAUGAGGAAUCUAAGGUGCUCCAGUCUCUGCAGAAGCAAAACAGCAACUUGAAGGAAAAGCUCAUCUCCCUGCAGAAAAAAUAUGAGAAAGACGCAGAGAUAGGAAUCUUCAGUAUUCUCUUCUGCAAGCUGAAUAAAAAGCUGUGCAGAGACGGAAUGUUAAAACUGAGCAACAUAUAGAUUUAACUUAGACUUGUUAUUUCUUUUAGACUGCUGUGGAGCACUGGACAACAAGCAUGUUGGUCUGAACGCCCCCUAAUUCAGGAUCCACGCUAGGGAAACGUUUCUAUAGUUCUUCUUGCAGGUUUGGAUGUUCAAAGUUGACUGCAAGUGGUUGAUGUUUGGGCAGCACGAUUGACAGAGGGACUCUCCACUGGUGGUCAACAACACCUUCGGUUAGAUUCUACACGAUGGAUCUGUCAGUCUUCUGUCUCUAAUGAGUCCCCAAUCCCCAAAGAAGAGACCAAACAACUGGCAGAUGAGGCUUCCCCACUCCAGGGAAACUUGAAGCAGUCAUUCCCUGAGUGCCUCCUUCCUGAAAAGGGGUAUUCUGAACUAUAGUGUCUCCCCAACCCAGCUGUUUGGGAAAAAACGCCAUUUGAAUGCUCUCAGCACAGCAACAUCUGUAACAGCGCCUGAUUAAAGUUGCGGUGAACCAGUUAUUUAUUGGUUUGCACCAGAUAGUCACUGGGGCGCACCAUAUAGAAAGUGGUGUAAUAACUAGUGGGCACCAAUUGCUAAGUGGUCCACAUAACUGGUCCACACAACAUAGUUAUUGGUGCGCAUGAGAUAAUAACUGGUGCGCACCUGUUACUAAUUGGUCCACACCAGAUAAAAACUGGUGUAGUAACUCGUGGGCACCAGUUAGUAAUUGGUCUGCAUAAGAUAGUGACUAGUCCACACAAGAUAGUUACUAGUGCGCACAGGAUAUCUGGUGCGCACCAAUUACUACUU